UACGAAGGGGGCUAGCGUUGCUCGGAAUCACUGGGCGUAAAGGGUGCGUAGGCGGGUCUUUAAGUCAGGGGUGAAAUCCUGGAGCUCAACUCCAGAACUGCCUUUGAUACUGAAGAUCUUGAGUGCGGGAGAGGUGAGUGGAACUGCGAGUGUAGAGGUGGAAUUCGUAGAUAUUCGCAAGAACACCAGUGGCGAAGGCGGCUCACUGGCCCGGUACUGACGCUGAGGUGCGAAAGCGUGGGGAGCAAACAGG
rnacentral:rRNA from 1 species